rnacentral:rRNA from 1 species
AUUGAACGCUGGCGGCAGGCCUAACACAUGCAAGUCGAGCGGAUGAAGGGAGCUUUCUCCUGGAUUCAGCGGCGGACGGGUGAGUAAUGCCUUUGAAUCUGCCUGGUAGUGGGGGAUAACGUCCUGAAACGGGCGCUAAUACCGCAUACGUCCUGAUGGAGCAAGUUGGGGAUCUUCGGACCUCACGCUAUCAUAUGAGUCUAGGUCGGAUUAGCGAGUUGGUGGGGUAAAGGCCUACCAAGGCGACGAUCCGUAACUGAUCUGAGAGGAUGAUCAGUCACAUGGGAACGGAGAAACGGACAAGACUCCGACGGGAGGCAGGAGUGGGGAAUAUUGGACAAUGGGCGAAAGCCGGAUCCAGGCAGGCCGAGUGUGUGAAGAAGGUCUUCGGAUUGUAAAGCACUUUAAGGGGGGAGGAAGGGCAGUAAGUUAAGACCUAGCUGUUUUGACGGUACCAACAGAAGAAGAACCGGCUAACUUCGUG